rnacentral:rRNA from 1 species
UGGGGAAUAUUGCACAAUGGGCGCAAGCCUGAUGCAGCCAUGCCGCGUGUAUGAAGAAGGCCUUCGGGUUGUAAAGUACUUUCAGUCGGGAGGAAGGUGGUAAGGUUAAUAACCUUAUCAAUUGACGUUACCCGCAGAAGAAGCACCGGCUAACUCCGUGCCAGCAGCCGCGGUAAUACGGAGGGUGCAAGCGUUAAUCGGAAUUACUGGGCGUAAAGCGCACGCAGGCGGUCUGUCAAGUCGGAUGUGAAAUCCCCGGGCUCAACCUGGGAGAUGCAUUCGAAACUGGCAGGCUAGAGUCUUGUAGAGGGGGGUAGAAUUCCAGGUGUAGCGGUGAAAUGCGUAGAGAUCUGGAGGAAUAACGGUGGCGAAGGCGGCCCCAUGGACAAAGACUGACGCUCAGGUGCGAAAGCGUGGGGAGCAAACAGG